CGGAGGGUGAGUAGAGUAGCAGACGGGUGAGUAAUGCAUAGGUAAUCUACCUUUAAGUGGGGGACAACUUAUCGAAAGGUGAGCCAAUCCCGCAUAUCAUCACUAUACACAAGUAUUGUGAAAAAAGAGGGGGCUCCUGCGGGACCUCUUGCUUGAAGACGAGCUUAUGUCCUAUUAGCUUGUUGGUGGGGUAAUGGCCCACCAAGGCUUUGAUGGGUAGCCGAGCUGAGAGGCUGAUCGGCCACACUGGAACUGGAACACGGUCCAGACUCCUACGGGAGGCAGCAGUGGGGAAUUUUGCGCAAUGGGCGAAAGCCUGACGCAGCGACGCCGCGUGAGGGAUGAAGGUUCUCGUAAUCGUAAACCUCUGUCAGGAAGGAUUAAAUGUAUGAAUGCUAAUACCAUUUGUAUUUGACUUAACUUCCAGAGGAAGCCCCGGCUAAAUACGUGCCAGCAGCCGCGGUAAUACGUAUGGGGCAAGCGUUACUCGGAUUUAUUGGGCGUAAAGCGAGUGUAGGCGGUCAAAUAAGUCAAUGGUGAAAUCCCUCAGCUUAACUGAGGAAUUGCCUUUGAUACUGUUUGACUUGAGGACAGGAGAGGAAAGUGGAACUCCCGGUGUAGCGGUGGAAUGCGUAGAUAUCGGGAAGAACACCAGAGGCGAAGGCGGCUUUCUGGACUGUUUCUGACGCUGAGACUCGAAAGCUAGGGGAGCAAACAGGAUUAGAUACCCUGGUAGUCCUAGCUGUAAACGAUGGAUACUAGAUUUUGCAAGUUUUUGCUAGAUCGAAGCUAACGCAUUAAGUAUCCCGCCUGGGGAGUACGGUCGCAAGGCUAAAACUCAAAGGAAUUGACGG
rnacentral:rRNA from 1 species